UACGGGGGGAGCAAGCGUUGUCCGGAUUCAUUGGGCGUAAAGAGCGCGCAGGCGGCUUGGUAAGUCGGAUGUGAAAUCCCGAGGCUCAACCUCGGGUCUGCAUCCGAUACUGCCCGGCUAGAGGUAGGUAGGGGAGAUCGGAAUUCCUGGUGUAGCGGUGAAAUGACGCAGAUAUCAGGAGGAACACCGGUGGCGAAGGCGGAUCUCUGGGCCUUACCUGACGCUCAGGCGCGAAAGCUAGGGGAGCGAACUGG
rnacentral:rRNA from 1 species